rnacentral:rRNA from 1 species
AUCGGGAAUUUUGCGCAAUGGACGAAAGUCUGACGCAGCAACACCGCGUGAGGGAUGACGGCCUUCGGGUUGUAAACCUCGUUAUAAGCACCGGCUAACUACGUGCCAGCAGCAGCGGUCAUACGUAGGGUGCAAGCAUUACCCGGUAUUACUGGGCGUAAAGAGUUCUGUAGGCGGCUAUGUAAGUCAGGGGUUAAAUCCUUCGGCCUAACCGAAGAACUGCUCUUGAUACUAUAUGGCUAGAGAUAGUUAGGGGGCUGCGGAACGCAUGGUGGAGCGGUGAAAUGCGUUGAUAUCAUGCGGAACACCAAGGGGGAAGCCAGCAGCCUGGGACUUAUCUGACGCUGAGAGACGAAAGCGUGGGGAGCGAAACGGAUUAGAAACCCUGGUAGUCC